rnacentral:rRNA from 1 species
GAUGAACGCUAGCGGCAGGCUUAAUACAUGCAAGUCGAGGGGCAGCACGAAUAGCAAUAUUUGGUGGCGACCGGCGCACGGGUGCGUAACACGUAUACAACCUACCUAUAACAGGGGGAUAGCCUUUCGAAAGAGAGAUUAAUACCCCGUAAUAAAUUGAGUGGCAUCACUUGAUUUUGAAAGCUACGGCGGUUAUAGAUGGGUAUGCGUCUGAUUAGCUAGUUGGUGAGGUAACGGCUCACCAAGGCGACGAUCAGUAGGGGGAUCUGAGAGGACUAACCCCCCACACUGGUACUGAGACACGGACCAGACUCCUACGGGAGGCAGCAGUAAGGAAUAUUGGUCAAUGGAGGCAACUCUGAACCAGCCAUGCCGCGUGCAGGAUGACGGCCCUAUGGGUUGUAAACUGCUUUUGUACCAGAGAAAACCUACUCACGUGUGAGUAGCUGAUAGUAUGGUAAGAAUAAGCAUCGGCUAACUUCGUG